rnacentral:rRNA from 1 species
CACGUAGGGGGCAAGCGUUGUCCGGAUUUAUUGGGCGUAAAGAGCUCGUAGGUGGUUCGGUAAGUCGGGUGUUAAACCCCCAGGCUCAACCUGGGGACGCCACUCGAUACUGCUGUGACUAGAGUCCGGUAGGGGAGCGUGGAAUUCCUGGUGUAGCGGUGAAAUGCGCAGAUAUCAGGAGGAACACCAGCGGCGAAGGCGGGUCUCUGGACAGUUCCUGACGCUGAGGCACGAAGGUCAGGGGAGCAAACGGG